UGUUGACAUUAUAGUUGUGCAGGAACUUCGUUGACUCUUGAGAACCUCGGGCAAAUCGCACAUCACCGUGGCAGAGACUUUGCAUGCGGAUGUCAUCCAUAUCAACUUUCGAUGCCAGUUUCUGGGGAAUCAGGGUUCCAUUCCGUACAGGGACCCUGAGAAAUGACUACCACAUGCAAGGAAGGCAGCAGGCGCGCAAAUGACCCACUCCCGACGCGGGAAGGUAGUGACGACA